AGUGAACGCUGGCGGUAGGCCUAACACAUGCAAGUCGAACGGCAGCACCGUAAGAGCUUGCUCUUACGGGUGGCGCGUGGCGGACGGGUGAGGAAUACAUCGGAAUCUACUUUUUCGUGGGGGAUAACGUCGGGAAACUUACGCUAAUACCGCAUACGACCUACGUGUGAAAGCAGGGGAUCUUCGGACCAUUCGCGAGUGUAUGAGCCUAGGUCGGCUUAGCUAGUUGGCGGGGUAAAGGCGCUCCACGGCGACGAUCCGUAGAGGGUCUGUGAGGGUGGUCACCCAGACUGGAAGAGAGGCGGAGCCCAGACUCCUGGGGGGGGAAACAGUGGGGAAUAUUGGGCGAGGGGGGCAAGCGUAAUCCAGCCAUACCGGGUGGGUGAAGAAGGCCUUCUGGUGGUAAAGCCCUGUUGUUGGUAAAGAAAAACAGCAGGUUUAUACCCCGCUGUUCUGACGGUACCCAAAGAAUAAGCACCGGCUAACUUCGUG
rnacentral:rRNA from 1 species